rnacentral:rRNA from 1 species
CACGUAGGGUGCGAGCGUUGUCCGGAAUUAUUGGGCGUAAAGAGCUCGUAGGCGGUGUGUCGCGUCGGCCGUGAAAACCUGCAGCUUAACUGUGGGCUUGCGGUCGAUACGGGCAUCACUGGAGUUCGGCAGGGGAGACUGGAAUUCCUGGUGUAGCGGUGAAAUGCGCAGAGUAUCAGGAGGAACACCAAUUGCGAAGGCAGCUCGCUGGACGUUACUGACGCUGAGACGCGAAGCGUGGGAGCAACAGGAUAGAUACC